rnacentral:misc_RNA from 1 species
UUCUUCUUCUUCUUCUUCUUUUCAAUGGCCGUCUUUGAUGGGUAGGCUGCUUCUUCUCCUCGUCCACCUCUUUUUUUUUUCCUUCUUGUUUUUGGUCUUCUUCUUCCCCACCUCACCCAAGCGCGCCUUGCACCUCACCGUGCCUUGCUGCGCUUGGGUGAGGCCACACACCUUUCUAAGGGCAAGGCGCAGCCCCUUGCACCCUAAGCGCCUUGCGCCUUUCACAACACUGGUUUUAAGGCC